AAUGGCAUCACUGUUCGAAAUUCAAUUGAGCACUAGUUAUACAAACAGUGAUCGGGUUCGAAAUAUCGAUACUCUCGAUAUUCGAAACUAAACAAGAAUUGAUAAAAAUGAGAGAUAAGCGGCCUUUACACGAUCAGAUAUGCGUGACAACAUGUGUGACAUCACACCAAGUUUGACCGUGUAAAGGGAAAAAAAAACAUGCUUGUCACGCAUGUUCAAAGUUUUUAAACUUGUUUAAUAUUUCUGCUGGUGUGUCACACAAGUGUGAUCGUGUGAAGGGCUGCAUGAUGCACGCAGUGCAUUUUUUCAGUCGAAAAAAGACAGUGAAGAGUAAUGGUGUCGCGCAUGAACGCAUGGUAACGCUAGCUUGGACAAUUUAAAAUGUAAAAUUAAUUCAUUUCAUUUCAUUCAUUUGUAAUGCUUUGGGCAAGAUAUUUCCAGUUCUUUUAACAAAUUUGUAUGCGAGCGUGUUGGUCUUUUCUUACGCCAAUCUUGCACCAAAAUUCGUUUUUUCUUGCCACUUUUUGCAAUUUCUUCCUCUUCCUCCAUUCCUAAAAUUUCUUCAAUCAGAAGAGCUGCCACUAAUGCGCGUGCCAUGUUUACUCGUUAACAGCUGAACGAAAAUGAAGUUCACACACAUGCAUGACCGUGUGAACGAAAACGUCAAACUUGUACAUCAAGCCAUGUUGUCACACAUAUCUGACCGUGUAAAGGCCGCUAUAUAUAAUAGAAAAAUAUUAUUAAUUGGAAAAAUAAAAAGAAAUUAAAAUAUCGAUAUUCUCAAUAUUCGAAUCAGUCUCGUAUAUUGAGAGUAUCGAUAAUUCGAAAAUAAUCAUGAAUCAAUAGUGGCCAUUCGAAUUUACAACAUUCCCUGCAAGACGGAGGUAACAGAUUGCACAAACACAUUGAAACAUUUUCAGCUGUUCACUAACACUGUUACAUUUUCUGGAAUUUUCAAUGGAAUGGGAGAAUACGAGAGGCGAAUACCCAAUAUUUCAAGAAGAAUAAACGAAAAGCGCAGUUUAUUUUGGAUUUUAAAGAGAGAAAAUGAAAGAGGUUAACAAGGAGAAAAAGAAAUCAUUUGGACCAUUGGUAAAAUUCAAAUCUAUUGCGUGCAGCAACCAAAUAAUGGAGUAUGCUUUAAAUUAUUAAAGUUAAAUAGCGUAUAUUUAAUUCAAAUAUUUGUUAUAGAUUGUGCAUUUUAUUUUGAUUUUAUUAUUAAAUAAAGAGAAAUAAUAAAAAAACUGAGUUUUAUUUAAAAGAAUUUAAUUUGCUAGAUGUAACAAAUGGGUAACAGAUAAUCUUGUUACUGCUUGUUCUUCCUAACAUGCUUAUAUGUUAAAGGUAACAAACUGAUAACCAAAAUAAUAACACUAACAGAUAUUCGGGUAACAAAUACUUUUUGUUAUCCAUAACACAUGGGUAAGCUAAGCGCUAACAAAAUAAUUUGUUACCCGUAACAUACUGUGAAGAGAUUUGCUAACAAAUGUGUGUAUUCUGUUAGAACAAGGCAGCAUGCGAUAUUUGCCAUUGCUUAGAGCGAGAUAACCAAUGAACAUCAAAUAGCUAUGUGUUACUUUUUUCCCACUCUCUGAACAAAAGUAACAAAUAUUUUAACGAAUGCAAAAGUGAACAAUAACAAUUCGCUUACACGUUUGCUAACAGCUACCCGUCUUGCAGGGUGUUUUUGUGUUGGUGUUGGACCGACCAGGGUUAUUAUUUUCACCCGCGCCCGAGGGCCUACAACGCAAAAAAGUUCUACGUGAAAAAAACUUGAAACACCCCGGUGCUUGACCGACCACACCCUAAUGGGGGACAAUAAAAAAAAUUUUGCGAUAGACAGCUGAAAAAAUCUUUUUUUGGGUAUAAUUUAUUUUCGUAAUUUCUUGUAGUUCAUUUACAAAAGAUGCCGAUAAGGUAACACUAAUUAUUUAACAGACUGCAACCCUUAACGGGGCAUCUCGACACGAUAGAAUUUAUAGAAUACUAGCUGCAUUGCCGUGCCCAUUGCCUGUGGAGAGCCCACAUUGCUCAUAGCUUACUAGAUAUAGAAUACUACUUAGUUUGCCAUGUAUCGUAAGGUAGAAGCUGUCACUUCAGCAAUUUGACAGCGCAGUUUUCAUUUCUAUGAAAAUUUUGAAGAGGCAACAUAUCCCAUUUGCAGAUAUGCCGACGGCAUUUUCAAUUUGACAAUAUGAAAUUUAGAAGAGCGAGUAUU